CCCUUAGAUGUUCUGGGCCGCACGCGCGCUACACUGAUGCAUUCAACGAGUUUCUUCCUGGUCCGAGAGGAAUGGGUAACCUUUUGAAAGUGCAUCGUGAUAGGGAUAGACAAUUGCAAUUAUUGGUCUUCAACGAGGAAUUCCUAGUAGACGUAGUUCAUCAGACUGCAUCGAUUACGUCCCUGCCCUUUGUACACACCGCCCGUCGCUCCUACCGAUUGAAUGCUCAGGUGAGCCAUUCGGACUUUCAUCAUGCUGGUUUCCAGUUUUGAUGAAGGAAAGUCUUGCGAACCUUAUCAUUUAGAGGAAGGAGAAGUCGUAACA
rnacentral:rRNA from 1 species